CCUUUGCCGGAGAGAACUCUGAGGAAACAGCCGGAAGCAGACUGUGCCGACGUGCGACGAGCGAGAAUCUCAGGAAAGAGCCGUUCGUUCCCAAACACAGUACGGUGGGCAGCUACGUGAUAGUUCGCGUUCAGGAGAUGCUGAACGAAGCCACCAACAGUGAUUAUGACACCAGAGAAUACUGAAGGCAUUAUGUGGUGUGCCUGUGUCCAGGUGCUUCGAAAGGACCCAACUACAUUCAAUUGGGACCAAGUAGGCCUCCAUUCAAACCCUGACAGCAUCGGGCCUCUAGGACGUCCAAUUGCCAAAUCUCUGGGGACUUUGGGAAUCUCAUGAGGAGAUUAUGGGGUACCCUGUUUCCAAGAUAGAUAAAACUCCAAGAAGAUUGUCAGCUUGAUUUUUUUUUCCUCAAAAAAUGGGUCCCUCAAAUCCAGGGUUCUAGGAAGCUCUUGUAGAGGCUGGCUCAGAGUUCGGUGCAUAGUUUUGCUAGUGGCUUGUUUUUCUGCAGAUAAGAUAUUAUAGGUCUGGGUGUCACUGUAUUUUAUUGGCUCAAAAGACAAAGUACAAAGGACGAGGAGGCAGUGGGUUUUGACUCAUAGAGGCUGUUGCCUGCCUGUGCCAUGUGAGCGUAUGUGGAAGGAACAUUGCAGUCCAUCAAGUAUAACUCUGCCUGCCCCAGCACUGCGGAAUUCUUUCCGCAUGACUCCAGGUACUCAGACACUUUUCCUAAGCAG